CCGCAAACUGCUGGAGGGCGAGGAGUACAGCACUGGAGGCAUCAGCGGAGGAUUAGGAAGUGGCUCCGGGUUUGGCCUGAGUAGUGGCUUUGGCUCCGGCUCUGGAAGUGGCUUUGGGUUUGGUGGCAGUGUCUCUGGCAGUUCCAGCAGCAAGAUCAUCUCUACCACCACCCUGAACAAGAGACGAUAGAGGAGACGAGGUCCCUGCAGCUCACUGUGUCCAGCUGGGCCCAGCACUGGUGUCUCUGUGCUUCCUUCACUUCACCUCCAUCCUCUGUCUCUGGGGCUCAUCUUACUAGUAUCCCCUCCACUAUCCCAUGGGCUCUCUCUGCCCCAGGAUGAUCUUCUGUGCUGGGACAGGGACUCUGCCUCUUGGAGUUUGGUAGCUACUUCUUGAUUUGGGCCUGGUGACCCACCUGGAAUGGGAAGGAUGUCAGCUGACCUCUCACCUCCCAUGGACAGAGAAGAAAAUGACCAGGAGUGUCAUCUCCAGAAUUAUUGGGGUCACAUAUGUCCCUUCCCAGUCCAAUGCCAUCUCCCACUAGAUCCUGUAUUAUCCAUCUACAUCAGAACCAAACUACUUCUCCAACACCCGGCAGCACUUGGCCCUGCAAGCUUAGGAUGAGAACCACUUAGUGUCCCAUUCUACUCCUCUCAUUCCCUCUUAUCCAUCUGCAGGUGAAUCUUCAAUAAAAUGCUUUUGUCAUUC
rnacentral:lncRNA from 1 species